AUCCAACUGACGAGUCCCAAGUAGGAUUAAACGAGCGUCGUGGAU
rnacentral:hammerhead_ribozyme from 1 species